rnacentral:rRNA from 1 species
UACGUAGGUGGCGAGCGUUGUCCGGAUUUACUGGGCGUAAAGAGCGCGCAGGCGGUCGUUCAAGUCGCGUGUGAAAGCCCCCGGCUCAACUGGGGAGGGUCACGCGAUACUGAUCGACUCGAAGGCAGGAGAGGGUAGUGGAAUUCCCGGUGUAGUGGUGAAAUGCGUUGAUAUCAAGUGGAACACCAGUGGCGAAGGCGAGUCUCUGGACAUUUCCUGACGCUGAGGCACGAAAGCCAGGGGAGCAAACGGG